GGCAACCUGGGGAGGUGACGGGAGAAAGAGGGACUGAGGGGGCGGUGGCCGCCCUGCGGGAGGUGGAGAAAGGAGUACGUAUUCGCUCAUUGGCUAGAGGGAGUGUGCGUACUAAGCUAUUGAUUGCACACACUGGAAGGUUGCCUUUAUUAUAUCCAUUUCUGUAUUCGUACCAGCACCUCGCAAAAUAAUUGUCUCAGCAGACUCCCUUGGGCAAUACUUCACAGACAUGACUGUGCACGCCAGUCACCCAGAGAUCAUGUUAAAAUGCACAUCUGGUUCAGCAGGCCUAGGUUUCUGUAUGUUAUAGAAGUUCAAAGAAGACAAACUCUAGCCAAGAGCAGUGUGAAGAAAAGAAGACGCUAUAUUAAUCACAGUCCAGGGAUGCCUUCUGGCUUCCUGGCAGCAAUUCCGGCCUGAGAUUCCUUCUCUGUGCAUACUUCCUGUCAACAUUGUGUGAUGUCAAGCUGUGGCCGUCACAAAAGUACUGUGAACACCUGUAAAUCCCAACUAUCAAAAAUCACACCCAGGAAUCCAAAUUAGCAUUAUUAUGUCAAAAGAAAAACCUGAUUUCUUCACUGUCUG
rnacentral:lncRNA from 1 species